GGAUCACUCCAUUUGGGGUUAAGGCCAUACGGACAGCCGG
rnacentral:ncRNA from 1 species